rnacentral:rRNA from 1 species
AGAGUUUGAUCAUGGCUCAGAGCGAACGCUGGCGGCGUGCCUAACACAUGCAAGUCGAACGUGAACGGCUUCGGCCUAGUAAAGUGGCGUACGGGUGAGUAACGCGUAGGUAAUCUACCCCAGAGUCUGGAAUAACCGGCCGAAAGGCUGGCUAAUACUGGAUAGAGCGACGGAAUCCGUAAUUGGGUUUUUCGGGAAAGGGAGGAGGCAACUCCCCUUGCUCUGGGAUGAGCCUGCGUCCCAUUAGGUAGUUGGUGGGGUAACGGCCUACCAAGCCUGUGAUGGGUAGCUGGUCUGAGAGGAUGAUCAGCCACACUGGAACUGAAACACGGUCCAGACUCCUACGGGAGGCAGCAGUGGGGAAUCUUGCGCAAUGGACGAAAGUCUGACGCAGCCACGCCGCGUGAGUGAAGAAGGCCUUCGGGUUGUAAAGCUCUGUCGGACGGGACGAAAAUACUUGGAGUUAACAGCUUCAGGGACUGACGGUACCGUCAAAGGAAGCACCGGCUAACUUCGUGCCAGCAGCCGCGGUAAUACGAGGGGUGCAAGCGUUGCUCGGAAUUAUUGGGCGUAAAGGGUAGGUAGGUGGUCUCAUUUGUCAGGGGUGAAAUCCUUGGGCUUAACUCAAGAAGUGCCCCUGAAACGGUGAGACUCGAGUCCUGGAGAGGGUCGUGGAAUUCCCGGUGUAGCGGUGAAAUGCGUAGAGAUCGGGAGGAACACCAGAGGCGAAGGCGGCGACCUGGACAGGUACUGACACUCAACUACGAAAGCGUGGGGAGCAAACAGGAUUAGAUACCCUAGUAGUCC